GCGAACGCUGGCGGCAGGCUUAACCCAUGCCAGUCGCGCGGGCACUUUCGGGUGUCCGCGGCGGACGGGUGAGUAACGCGUGGGAACGUGCCCUCUGGUUCGGAAUAACUCAGGGAAACUUGAGCUAAUACCGGAUACGCCCUUUUGGGGAAAGGCUUGCUGCCGGAGGAUCGGCCCGCGUCUGAUUAGCUAGUUGGUGAGGUAACGGCUCACCAAGGCGACGAUCAGUAGCUGGUCUGAGAGGAUGAUCAGCCACACUGGGACUGAGACACGGCCCAGACUCCUACGGGAGGCAGCAGUGGGGAAUAUUGGACAAUGGGCGCAAGCCUGAUCCAGCCAUGCCGCGUGAGUGAUGAAGGCCUUAGGGUUGUAAAGCUCUUUUAUCCGGGACGAUAAUGACGGUACCGGAGGAAUAAGCCCCGGCUAACUUCGUG
rnacentral:rRNA from 1 species